UCGCAUGGUGAACGCCCCAUUGUGCUUCGCAAUUCCCUUGGCCUUGACUUCUGUGCCAGAGCAAUGUCUGCAUGGAAAGGUGGGUUCAUCCUUUCACAUGGAUUCAAAAGGUUAGCACCUCU
rnacentral:snoRNA from 1 species